rnacentral:rRNA from 1 species
GAUGAACGCCGGCGGCGUGCCUAAUACAUGCAAGUCGAGCGAACGGACGAGAAGCUUGCUUCUCUGAUGUUAGCGGCGGACGGGUGAGUAACACGUGGAUAACCUACCUAUAAGACUGGGAUAACUUCGGGAAACCGGAGCUAAUACCGGAUAAUAUUUUGAACCGCAUGGUUCAAAAGUGAAAGACGGUCUUGCUGUCACUUAUAGAUGGAUCCGCGCUGCAUUAGCGGGUUGGUAAGGUAACGGCUUACCAAGGCAACGAGGCAUAGCCGACCUGAGAGGGUGAUCGGCCACACUGGAACUGGACCACGGUCCAGACUCCUACGGGAGGCACCAGUCGGGAAUCUUACGCAAUGGGCGAAAGCCUGACGGAGCAACGCCGCGUGAGUGAUGAAGGUCCUCGGUUCGUAAAACUCUGUUAUUAGGGAAGAACAUAUGUGUAAGUAACUGUGCACAUCGUGACGGUACCUAGUAAGGAAGCCACGGCUAACUACGUG